UACGGAGGGAGCAAGCGUUACUCGGAAUUAUUGGGCGUAAAGGGCGCGUAGGCGAUUCGAUAAGUCUCAUGUGAAAUCCCAGGGCCUAACCCUGGAAUGGCAUGGGAUACUGUUGGAUUUGAGUUCCGGAGAGGAAGGCAGAAUUCCCGGUGUAGCGGUGAAAUGCGUAGAUAUCGGGAGGAAUACCAGUGGCGAAGGCGGCCUUCUGGACGGAUACUGACGCUGAGGCGCGAAAGCCAGGGGAGCAAAGCGGG
rnacentral:rRNA from 1 species